UCAGAACGAACGCUGGCGGCAUGCCUAACACAUGCAAGUCGAACGAAGCCUUCGGGCUUAGUGGCGCACGGGUGCGUAACGCGUGGGAAUCUGCCCUUGGGUUCGGAAUAACAGUUAGAAAUGACUGCUAAUACCGGAUGAUGUCUUCGGACCAAAGAUUUAUCGCCCAAGGAUGAGCCCGCGUAGGAUUAGGUAGUUGGUGGGGUAAAGGCCUACCAAGCCGACGAUCCUUAGCUGGUCUGAGAGGAUGAUCAGCCACACUGGGACUGAGACACGGCCCAGACUCCUACGGGAGGCAGCAGUGGGGAAUAUUGGACAAUGGGGGCAACCCUGAUCCAGCAAUGCCGCGUGAGUGAUGAAGGCCUUAGGGUCGUAAAGCUCUUUUACCAGGGAUGAUAAUGACAGUACCUGGAGAAUAAGCUCCGGCUAACUCCGUGCCAGCAGCCGCGGUAAUACGGAGGGAGCUAGCGUUGUUCGGAAUUACUGGGCGUAAAGCGCACGUAGGCGGUUAUUCAAGUCAGAGGUGAAAGCCCGGGGCUCAACCCCGGAACUGCCUUUGAAACUAGAUGACUGGAAUCUUGGAGAGGUCAGUGGAAUUCCGAGUGUAGAGGUGAAAUUCGUAGAUAUUCGGAAGAACACCAGUGGCGAAGGCGACUGACUGGACAAGUAUUGACGCUGAG
rnacentral:rRNA from 1 species